UACGUAGGGUGCGAGCGUUAAUCGGAAUUACUGGGCGUAAAGCGUGCGCAGGCGGUUUUGUAAGUCUGUCGUGAAAGCCCCGGGCUCAACCUGGGAAUUGCGAUGGAUACUGGCGGGCUAGAGUGCGGUAGAGGGUGGUGGAAUUCCGGGUGUAGCGGUGGAAUGCGUAGAGAUCCGGAGGAAGACCGGUGGCGAAGGCGGUCUGCUGGGCAGUUUCUGACACUGAUGCGCGACAGCGUGGGGAGCAAACAGG
rnacentral:rRNA from 1 species